CACAAUUUAUACAUUUAUACACUAUUAAUUUAAAACAAUGUUAGGCAUUAGGUAGUUGUACUUCCUGCUGUUAAGGUUUUUCCAGCUAUUUGUAUGUGUUGAGCUAUGUGGUUUGUAACUUCAAUUUAGAGAGACACAUGUAUUGUAUUAGCAGCCACGUAUCUUUCUCUUCUGCCACGUGUAACACAAACCCUCAAGAAGCCCCAAACAAGAACACACAAACCCUCACAAACAAUCCAAUCAGUAAACCAAAUCUCACUCUCAAUCUUAUUCUUGCACCAAUUUCCUAUUCGAUUCUCUGUUGAUAGAACCUAAAUUACGGAUUUUGGCCCUAAUUUGAAGUCAUGACGCAAGCAGAAGACGGAGGUUCGAACAAGGAACUUUAUGCUCUACUUCAUCUUCUCGCCUCCGACUAACAGGUACAAAAGCACAACCUACAUUCCGAAUUCGAAGUUUCUAAUUUUUGAAUUAUUGUAUUCUAGGUUUAUCUUCGAUUGAAUUAGUGGCUGUUAUUAUGUGUUUUGAGUUAUUAUCAGCUUUUAAACAUGUUAUUUGACCAUCUUAAAUGUAGACAAACACUAUAGUUAUGUUAAACAAGACACGUUCUUCAAUUAAUAUUCAGUGUCAGUUGACCAAGAAGUAUCAACGAGUAAGUAAUGCCUUUAUGUGUAGAUUACAACAUAUGUUUUUGUCUCUUUUGGUCAAACUUGACCCUAAUAUUUUCUAGUUUUUCUUUUUUUAGUUUAUUUGUUGUACAUAUAGCUUGGUUAGUUGUACAUUGAAUGUAUUAAAGAGUUUACGUGCUUCGUUAUGUUGUAAUCGUACCACAUUAUAUUAUAUGGUACAUCGUACUGAAGCGAUCUGAAAUGAGCCUACCCCCUUGUACCGAAUUUUAGGGACCUAGCAAAUUGCGAUCCCGUUCCACGUUCCCGUGCCGGAGCGUACCGCGAACUAUGUGACUAUGGAUCUCAUACUAGGAGCGUACCGAAUUUUAGGGACCUAGCGAAUUGUUUGUUAUAAGAACCUUUCUUUCCCUAGAAAAUUAGAUGGACUAAGAGAAGCUAAAGAAAAGGCUGAGAAGGAGGUUGCUGCAUUUUGGGUUCAAAUGGAAGCUGAUUUUGAAAGAAAGCUCACAAAGUAAGCUAAAACACAAUCAAUAACUACAGAAUGUCUUGACAACAUAAUCAUUUGUAUACACACAAUUUGAAUUCAGAUGGAAAGAGUGUUAAUUGUUGGCACUCCAUUUUGCAUAAUACAAAAUGUCAAGAUCUUUAGAAGUCAUGACAUGAAAACUUAAACUACAACAAUUUGCAGUUUGGGAUAUUUUUUUCUUAUAUUGCUUUACCUCCUAUUAGGCAUUGAUGAUCAUGGGUUUUUGAUACAUAAGUUUGCUCUUCUUGGAUGUUGUUAUGCCAUAGUUAUUCCUUUGGUACUUUUUCCUUCUGUUAAGAAGCUUACUUUUUAGCAUGUUCGUCUUUUCAGGCGUUUAACUUUGUGUUGGCAAGACCAGUUUUUAUAUGUGGAUAUAUGUGAUGAUGGUGAAUGGUGAUACCAAUAUAUGAUUUAAGCACAUUAGAUAUUUAAUUUUGGUACCAUGCUUUGAAUUAAGCACUCUUUUCUAAUGUCAAAUAAGUUUUCAUAUCUGUUUAUUGAUUAUACAUAAAAAUAAGUUUUCAUAUCUAUUUAUCGAUUAAACAUAGAAACAAGUUUUGAUAUUUGUUUAUUGAUCAAGUUCUUAAGGAUUAUUUUUGUGUUUGUUGAUGUAUAUUUUUUUUUUUGUUACAAUGUGGCGUUGUCCAAUGAGAUACAAGGGAUAACGGCUGAUGACUCCCCCCCCCCCCCCCCCCCCAAUUUAUUGUUAGAUGGUUAAAGUAGCAAGGAUUGAGCCGGUUAAAUAAUUGAACUACAGAUAGUGCAAAAUCCAACCAGGAAUGUGACACUAGGCAGAUUGACAAGAAGCACCCUAUAGUUUACAACAGGUUCACCAAGUCUCUUUCUUCUUCAACCUUUUCUUUUUACCAUUUCACUCUUAUAAAGAUGGAUCUGGUGUCUCAAUGCCUACCAGGACCAUGAAGAUUAAAAGAAGGGGUUGGGUUGAAAAAGAUAGUCCGGUGGGGGCUGAAUAUUGUAUUCUUUCUGACUAAUCAGCAGAGAAACAAGUAUAGGGCCCGUAAAGCUUGUUAAAAUGUUCGGAACUCGGUUGUGUGAGUGUUAAUAUUAUUGUACCCAGAUGAAGAAAGAGCAAGAAGUUUUAGUAGUAGCUCUAUAAUUGUGGGUUGUAUUCUUAAGGAGUUAUCCAACACUUGCUUAUGUGCUCUUUGUGGGGUUGGAAUCUAGUUUGAUCGAUAACAUUAAGAGUCUGCUAAGAUUGCCUCACAAAACGAGCGGGCUGAGUGACAAGUAAAAAAUCGGUUCAUUCAAAGUAGGUUGUGAGCAACAACACAUUGCGCCUUAAUUUGUAAGCCCUAACCGUAAUACUGCAGGGCUUACACCUAGUUCCAAUCAAAUAGAAGAAUUUAAUGUAAAUAUUAGAAAAAAGUCAAAAGUGUACAUAAGAAUUUAAUGUAAAUAUUAGAAAAAAAUGUCAAAAGUGUA